CAUGUUUUACGGUGCCGUGAUUUUUAUAAUUUUCGUCAAAAUUGGACCUUAAAACGUUAAUAAUGAAAACGACUAAAUUACGCACAACUUAUAUUGACUUAUACAAUUUCAAACAUUUCUGCUUUGUGAAAAAAAUUGUAUCCACAUAAAACCGAAUAAAAACUUGAGAAUAUAAACAACGUUAAAUGCUUAUAAACAACUAAAAACUCGCCAGGACGUUUUGAAAGUUUUUCCACAUCUUAAAAAAGUAU